rnacentral:rRNA from 1 species
GCUUCUCUGAUGUUAGCGGCGGACGGGUGAGUAACACGUGGAUAACCUACCUAUAAGACUGGGAUAACUUCGGGAAACCGGAGCUAAUACCGGAUAAUAUUUUGAACCGCAUGGUUCAAAAGUGAAAGACGGUCUUGCUGUCACUUAUAGAUGGAUCCGCGCUGCAUUAGCUAGUUGGUAAGGUAACGGCUUACCAAGGCAACGAUGCAUAGCCGACCUGAGAGGGUGAUCGGCCACACUGGAACUGAGACACGGUCCAGACUCCUACGGGAGGCAGCAGUAGGGAAUCUUCCGCAAUGGGCGAAAGCCUGACGGAGCAACGCCGCGUGAGUGAUGAAGGUCUUCGGAUCGUAAAACUCUGUUAUUAGGGAAGAACAUAUGUGUAAGUAACUGUGCACAUCUUGACGGUACCUAAUCAGAAAGCCACGGCUAACUACGUGCCAGCAGCCGCGGUAAUACGUAGGUGGCAAGCGUUAUCCGGAAUUAUUGGGCGUAAAGCGCGCGUAGGCGGUUUUUUAAGUCUGAUGUGAAAGCCCACGGCUCAACCGUGGAGGGUCAUUGGAAACUGGAAAACUUGAGUGCAGAAGAGGAAAGUGGAAUUCCAUGUGUAGCGGUGAAAUGCGCAGAGAUAUGGAGGAACACCAGUGGCGAAGGCGACUUUCUGGUCUGUAACUGACGCUGAUGUGCGA